CAAGUCGAGCGGUAACAGGAGAAGCUUGCUUCUCGCUGACGAGCGGCGGACGGGUGAGUAAUACUUAGGAAUCUGCCCAGUAGUGGGGGAUAGCUCGGGGAAACUCGAAUUAAUACCGCAUACACCCUACGGGGAAAAGGGGGCGCUUGCGCUCUCGCUAUUGGAUGAGCCUAAGUCGGAUUAGCUAGUUGGUGGGGUAAAGGCCUACCAAGGCGACGAUCUGUAGCUGGUCUGAGAGGAUGAUCAGCCACACCGGGACUGAGACACGGCCCGGACUCCUACGGGAGGCAGCAGUGGGGAAUAUUGGACAAUGGGGGCAACCCUGAUCCAGCCAUGCCGCGUGUGUGAAGAAGGCCUUUUGGUUGUAAAGCACUUUAAGCAGUGAAGAAGACCUAACGGUUAAUACCCGUUAGCGAUGACAUUAGCUGCAGAAUAAGCACCGGCUAACUCUGUGCCAGCAGCCGCGGUAAUACAGAGGGUGCAAGCGUUAAUCGGAAUUACUGGGCGUAAAGCGAGCGUAGGUGGCUUGAUAAGUCAGAUGUGAAAUCCCCGGGCUUAACCUGGGAACUGCAUCUGAUACUGUUAGGCUAGAGUAGGUGAGAGGGAGGUAGAAUUUCAGGUGUAGCGGUGAAAUGCGUAGAGAUCUGAAGGAAUACCGAUGGCGAAGGCAGCCUCCUGGCAUCAUACUGACACUGAGGUUCGAAAGCGUGGGUAGCAAACAGGAUUAGAUACCCUGGUAGUCCACGCCGUAAACGAUGUCUACUAGUCGUUGGGGAACUUGAUUCCUUAGUGACGCAGCUAACGCAAUAAGUAGACCGCCUGGGGAGUACGGCCGCAAGGUUAAAACUCAAAUGAAUUGACGGGGGCCCGCACAAGCGGUGGAGCAUGUGGUUUAAUUCGAUGCAACGCGAAGAACCUUACCUGGUCUUGACAUAUCUAGAAUCCUGCAGAGAUGCGGGAGUGCCUUCGGGAAUUAGAAUACAGGUGCUGCAUGGCUGUCGUCAGCUCGUGUCGUGAGAUGUUGGGUUAAGUCCCGCAACGAGCGCAACCCUUUUCCUUAGUUACCAGCGGUUUGGCCGGGGACUCUAAGGAUACUGCCAGUGACAAACUGGAGGAAGGCGGGGACGACGUCAAGUCAUCAUGGCCCUUACGACCAGGGCUACACACGUGCUACAAUGGUAGGUACAGAGGGCUGCUACACAGCGAUGUGAUGCGAAUCUCAAAAAGCCUAUCGUAGUCCAGAUUGGAGUCUGCAACUCGACUCCAUGAAGUCGGAAUCGCUAGUAAUCGCGGAUCAGAAUGCCGCGGUGAAUACGUUCCCGGGCCUUGUACACACCGCCCGUCACACCAUGGGAGUUGAUUGCACCAGAAGUGGGUAGCCUAAC
rnacentral:rRNA from 1 species